GUCCACUGGUUGGCGCCCUCUGGGAGUGCGGCUCACAGAAAUUUAUUUUGUUGAACUUCAAAGAAGUAAAUUGGGGGCAUCACCUGUAAUCCCAGCACUUGGGAGGCUGAGGCAAGAGGAUUGCCUAGACCUUCUCUCUCAAAAAAAAAAAAAAAAAGUUCCAGUACAUAGCUGGAAGCAUGUGGCAAAGGAAAGCUGCUCACCUCCUGGCAGACCGAGAGGUAAGGGAGGGCUGAGGACAAGACAUACCCUUCUAGUUACACCCCCAGUGACCUACUGCCCCCAACUGGGCUCACCUUUUAACACCCCUUCAGUUAUGAACUCUUCAAUGGGUUAAUCUAUUGAUGAAGUUUUGUGUCCUUGUGAUCCAAUCACCUCUCUAGGCCCCACCUGCUGCCCUGGGACUCAAGCCCUAGAUACAUGAGUUAAAGAAGCUGGGUGUGGGCCUGCAUGCCUGUAAUCCCAGGUACUGGGGAGACUGAGGCAGGAGUUUGCAGUUUCACGGUCAGUGUGGGCAAUUUAGUGAGAUUGUGCCCCAAAAUAAAAAAUAAAAAGUGCUGGAUGGGCCGGGGAUUUAGUUUAAUGGUUUCGCUGCCUGCUGUGCAAGCACAAGGACCCGUGUUCAAUCCCCGGUACCAAAAAAAAAAAAGCGCUGGGGAUGUAGCUGAGUGGUAGAGAGCUAUGGCCAGCAUGUGAGGCCCUGAGUUCAAUCCUCAGCAAUGCAAAGAAAAAAGUCUCAGAUCAAUAUGAAGAAAACCAGUACUAUGCACAUUGUAAGCAAACUGCUGGAAGCAAAGAUAAAG
rnacentral:lncRNA from 1 species